rnacentral:rRNA from 1 species
UACGUAGGGGGCGAGCGUUGUCCGGAGUUACUGGGCGUAAAGCGCACGCAGGCGGUCUGCUAAGUUUGGAGUGACAGUUGGUGGCUUAACUGCCAAAGUGCUUCGAAAACUGACAGACUUGAGGGCUUCAGAGGGACACGGAAUUCCGGGUGGAGUGGUGAAAUGCGUAGAGAUCCGGAAGAACACCAGUGGCGAAGGCGGCCCGCUGGGCAGUGGCUGACGCUGAGGCGCGACAGCGUGGGGAGCAAACAGG